UGUAUUCCCCUUCCUAUGACUUCAAUUCUUUCAAGAGGGAGGUCUUUUGACACUUCUCCAACAUUUUGGCCCUUUUCUUCUGGAAUUGGUACCUCAGUGUGCCUUUAUUUAAUUUUUUUUCUUGCCUUUGGUUCUUACAUAAAAGAAAAAACAUUUCUAUUUUGGUCUCCUCUUUUCCAUCACACACUUUUUGAUUGCAUGAUAUUAGAAUUACUCAAAAUUCCAGAUGCUGACCUAGACAGAUUUCACUACAUCUGCAAAGGAAGGAGGACCAGUUCAGCUGAAAGAGGUCAUAUUCACCAAGGAGCAGAAAAGGAAAGUAUUUCAGGAUGUUCAUGACUUCAGUAGAGGAGGAGCUCACAUGGGCACCAAAUCCAUGGCAUCUGGGGAGGAACCUUGAGAGGACACUUCUCCAACUACAGACCAUGCUGGUGUGAGGCAGCAGCCUGAUAGGGUCCCUUCUGAAGGGUCACAGCAUAUCACUUUCUUGUCUCUCAGCACUGUCAGUAAGGAAUGCAUUUCAGAAUCCAUGGCAUCUGGGGAGGAGCCUCAAGAGGACACUUCCCCAGUUAUGGACCAAGCUGAUGUGAUGCAGCAGCCUGUUAUGCCCCAUUUCAAAGGGUCACAGCAUAUCACUCUCCUUCCUGCCAACACUGUCAGUAAGGAAUGCAUUUCAUGUAUUCUAAAAGUCUCCAUGUAUGUAGAGUGUAUAAUUAUAUAUGUGCU